UGACUGAGAUGCUGCAACAAUUCCCGAGCUGUUUCAUCGUGGCACCUUCCUGGUGGCAGGUGGAUUAGCACAUUGUCUGCAACCCAGGAUGACCUGGAGGAAAGUCCCAGCUCUACUGACUGUAGCUGAGUAACCUUGGCAAAGGUCACCUCAAUUCUCUCUGAGUCUUAUUUUCUCAUCUGUAAAAUGAGGAGGAGGAGGAGGAUCAUCCAAACAUCACGGGACUUCGUUAAAUCAGUGCUUCGGAGCAUUUAGCACAGCGCCUGGCGCAAGAACUACCGGUCGCCCAGCUCUGUGUAUGUGGAGAGACAGCAGGAAGGACCACAGAGUGAGGAUGGGAGGAACUCUACCCGUCCUGAAUCUACCACUGUUCAGUAAUUUACAGUUCAAACCGGAUUGUGCCAGCUGACAUAUAUGGGACACUUACCCAACAUGCUAAGCAUCUUCCAUGCGUUAUCUAAUCAACCCUUACAACUCUAAGAGACAGAUACCAGUAGGCUCUCCAUCCUACAGCUAAAAAAACUGAGGCACAGAGGUGUUCAGAAACUUACCCAGGCCACAGAGAGGCAGAGCGGCGGCUGAGGUGCUGCUGUCUAGAGAACUCCAUCUCCUACUGCCUGGAAGUCAAGGGCACGGGCCAGCGAGGCAGAGACAUCGCCGCUGGGCUGGGAGGGGGGCUGGCUGGGGAGGAGAGACGCGUGUGCACAGAGGCACGGGGGGCUUUUGAAGACUAAUAGCUGUGAGACAUCAGGAGCAGCUGCCUGCAAGGUCUGCGCCUGGAUCUGGGAACAGAAGCGGAAAUCUGCUUUUAUCUCUGCUCAGGAUCACGCAGGAUUGGAAAGAGAGAACUGGCAGAGCAGCUGGGGGCAAAGGAGGCAGCCGCUGGGACUGAGCAUCAGCAAAUUGAUAAAAACAAGUGUCAGGCUUUUUCCUUCCCACACGCUACUGCCCGUUUGGAACACACGCGCUUGCACACAUACAGAAAAC